UUACAGCACAUGAUUAUUUUGUGAAUGUUUUAUUCUCCUUAGUUUAGUACAUUGGAAAUGACUCCUGAAAGAUGGAUCAGUUGGUAGAUGUGAGAUGAGUCCUCCUUUGAUUGAGUCAAUAAAGCCUUUCCCAGCGUACCAUCCUUCACUUAUAUUUUCACAUCAGAAAUAAAAAUGUAAAAAGAAUGGCACUUGUUUAACUGCAUAGACUAUAAUUAAUUUAGGAUAUAUUUUUGUUUUGCCCACUCACACAUGUGCAGUCAACAAAUGUACAGUUGGAAGAGUAGUAUGGUUAGGAUAGUACUUCACAGGUGUUAUAGUUGGAAAGAUUAUCGUAGUGGAAAAGAAACAAUCAAAAAAGAAAUGCUCAACCAUACCCAAUGAUCUAGGCAUGUAGUGGAAAACUCCAAAAAGGAGGAAUCUCCAGAAGGAGAUCCUCCCCAGGUGAUAGUCAGCCCUUAAAUGGGAUCUAGGAGGGGUGGAGCCUGGCCAGUCACACAGGUGAAUUGCUUUCACUUGUGCUCCUACAGCUGACCCAGUCCUUGCCUCAGGUGAUCAAUCAGUGGUUCAGGCCAUGACUCAACAGUUCCCAUACACACACAUCUCAAUGUUUUCCUCCCUCUCUUUUCAGUCCUAAACUGAAAAUGGGGUUUUCUUGAAACUGAUGUGGAGGCUGUGUAUAUCUUGAAUGGAACCUUUUAUUUUUCUGUAUGGUUUCUUUUGUGCAGAAUGUGAGUUUGAGAGAGCUGGAAAAUUGGAGACACAAAAAAAUCUGCAUCAUUUAAAAAUUUUGUGUGUGGACUUGUCUGUAGUUCUCCAAGAAGUACUCAGUGAUAGAGAAGUGUAAUUCAUUUGACUUCAUGGAUAGGUAAACAUAGAAGUGGAAAAGGUAAGUAACGUAAAGACAAACGUGUUAGGAUAUAAGAGUUGGCUUUAAUCUCUGACAUAAAAAAGGAAAAGGGAGUGGGGAGUGAGGAAUUAAAAAAAGAAAAAGAAAAAAGAAAAAAAAAAAAAAAGAAAGCUAUAAAACCUACAGGAUUACUACUUGAGUUUAUCCAGGGAAAAGUUUUGAUGAUUCAUAAGUGUCUCCUGAGCUGCUAGUCUUUACAGUUUGUUUGCCGUGCACACAGUGCUCCCUGCCACCUGUUGUUAAUUAUAACAUCCUAUAAAUCUUAUGUUAGAAGACUAGCAAUGAGACACAGUGCCUGCACUGGCUUAGUGGAUGCUCUAGGAAAAAAAUAAUUUUUCAGGAGUUUAUUCCUGGAUAAGCUUCUGCAAACCUGGCAUUGUCAUGUACUGAUAUUUCUAUUAAGAAAAACACAAGUGGAUGCCUUUAAACAAAUAAUGUCCUGGCUUUAUAUAACCACUGUGGUUUCAAGCACAUAUAAACAAACACUCUGAUGGGAAGCUGUCAUUUAAUAAAUCAAUACAGCUUGCUUGGUAAUAAAUAUUUUUCUUAGAAACCACAUCAUUCUCUCUUCCAUAGAUCAUAUGACUUUGCAGUUCCUGCAUUUUUUUACUUUACUGGAGCAACAAAGAAACGUGGGAAAUAACUCAGCAUUGUGAAAUCAUUCAGCUUAGCAGAACCUAUGCUCUGGUUAGAACAAGUUUAAAAUGUCUCAUUUCAGGCAUAAGUGGCCAAAUUUUUCCCUUUUCCAGGUAGCCACAACUCAGCUGAACUGCAUGGUGCCACCUUUCUGAGAUGAGGAAAGCAUUUAGCUUUGGCUUAAUCACUUGGAUUUCAUUGCCUGUGGUUUUACAAAGAGAGAUAAGAUUCAACAGAAGCCACCUCCUAUUUUUGGAAUACAGUGUGGUGAACUGAUGCCUUCUAGCCUGCGCCCAAAGCUGCAUGUUCCUGUUGCUGACUUUGAUCACAUCAGUCCCACACUGCACGAUUGUGUUCUUGGGAGGAAAUGUGAUGCUGCUGGCCAAGGACUGGCAAACUGAAUGAAAAAUUCUGGUCUCUGAGCUACAUAAAACAUCUUUGUUCUGAUAUUCCACAUUCACUGGAGCUCUGCACGUGGUGGGAAGAAUGGAAGAGCAGAACAGAGGUAAGCCCUUUGCUGGCAUAAACAGACUUGACUGCUAGUUACUUCAGUGGUAAGCUGAUUGCAUUUGGUUUGAGUGUCCCCAGAGCUGUGCCAUCAUCAUUCUGUCCCAUUGACAAUUAUAUCAAGUAAAUAAAAGACAAUGUAAGCAUCGCCAUUUUAGUGACUGUAAUUGUAUUAUAUGCAUAUAUGUUGUUGCUUCAUCUCUCAACACUGAGUUGUGUUAGAAACUUGAUUUGCUCUCUGGAACUUUAAUUUUGGAAGUGAUCAAAUGUUUUGCUUGAAGGACUCUGUGCAACUCCUCAGUGUAUUAUCCGUCCACUUCUUACUUUC